UGCAAAAUUAUACAUGACUAACACCUACUAAUUGUGAAAGAUAUUUUAAUCACUAAAUACAAUUGAGAAUGGAAAUGGGGAAUGUGUCAAAGAGACAGAAGGUCACAAUAGGUCUUCAAUGUAGCGAGAAAUUCCCGCACCCGGAGGCGUAAUUCAGCUGGCCCCUUAAAGAUGGAAUAUGUUACCUCCCUGUCAAAUGAUUUUUGAUAGGUUGGACAUUUCUACUUAGGACAAACCCAAUUUUUUUGCGAAUUUGAAUUUUGACGGGGUAUAACGUUUGCGCAACAAAAUGAUGUUUACGUUUUUACCUGUGUUUAAAAACUGAUAAAUACGAAAUUAAAUUUUGUUAGACUCAAUUUUGUCCUUGUCUGUACUAUGCGUGGAAAUAUUUCUUGUCCAAACGUAACGCCCUUCUAGGUACAUAAAUUCGGAGAGCUCACAUUGACCUCCGGAUUACUUGACACCAUUGGUUUUAACAACUCUCCAUGGCUUGCACCUAGAGCGAGCUAG
rnacentral:lncRNA from 1 species